GACAGAGGGGGCAAGCGUUGCUCGGAAUCACUGGGCGUAAAGGGCGCGUAGGCGGGAUGGCAAGUCGGUCGUGAAAUCCCUGGGCUCAACUCAGGGGGGGUCGGCCGAUACUGCCGUUCUUGAGGGAUGCAGAGGAGACUGGAAUUCCCGGUGUAGCGGUGAAAUGUGUAGAGAUCGGGAGGAACACCGGUGGCGAAGGCGGGUCUCUGGGCAUUCCCUGACGCUGAGGCGCGAAAGCCAGGGGAGCAAACGGG
rnacentral:rRNA from 1 species